UGUCUGUCAGUCGUCAAUUGAAGAGCGAGUCUGCUGCGUUAGCUCCGCCUACCUUCUCGGGCAGACCAACCACUGCUGGGUGACAGAAAAUCCAGAGGGUCAAACACUGAGGGUGCUGCGCCUGUGAUUUUUUCCAUAGAAUGUCGCCACAGACACCCACUUUGUAAUAUUACGAAUGGCCUGUCAACA